CCUGCUCUCCUGGGUUUCAAGAACUUCAGACGGUGUCUGUCCUCCCUCUCCUGAGGCCCCACUUUUGAGACUCCUCAGUGGCCCGAGGGAGAACGGGAAGGGCCAGAAACCCAGCCGGGCAGGCCUGGCGAGCAGAGGCAGAUGCCCCGCUCUAGGAACAGGAAGGACGGCCGAGGUGUUCGCCCCAAAAUCUCAGAUGGGAGAAAGUGAGACCCAGGAGGCCACUGGUCGACGGGAGGUGGACCGCGAGUCGGUGCUCCACCAGGACCACGAGCCCCACUAAGCCCCACCUGCAGCCCCGGCCUCACGGGAAGAGAGCAGGGGCCUUGGAGCAGGGGGUCCCUGAAUCACGGAAAUGCCGACAGGUGGGACCGGCAAGAAGACGACGUGAAGAGUCAGGGCCACGUGCCUCCGAGUCUGGUCUACGGGGAGCCGAGGGCAGCACGGAGGUGAAGGACCCGCUGCCACUGGCUGGACAGGCACCCAGCCUCAGGGCCAUCCUCCAGAGGGACCAGGGGUGGAGCCGUCCAGGCCCCGCCGCCACCUGGGAGAAGAGCUGCAGGGUCCAGUCCAGGGACGCCACAUCCCGGCUUCCGCUCCGGUCCCAGGCUCAGGGCCACAGUCCAGGCUCCGAGGAGCCCUGCCCUGAGGAACCAGUCCAGGUCGCUCACAUGAAGCAGUUCUCAGCCGGGGUGGACCUCGCGGUUCUUUUCGACAGACCUGGGAGAUGAGGUCAUGACGGAGGUCAACAGAGGUGUGCAAGCAGGACAGAGACCCCGUCAGCUGUAACAGGGGCGUGGGCAGCAGGAGGGAGGGGCACAGAGACCUGCAGCCCAGCUCACGCCCACCGGCUGCACGGCUGACUUGGCCAUGGCAGAGGGCCGUGCCAUGCAGUCCUGGGGCCCCUUCACGUGGACACCUGGCCUCCAGCACAGCUCGCAGG
rnacentral:lncRNA from 1 species